rnacentral:rRNA from 1 species
GCCCCAAUCUUGCCUACCCCGCCUCACAAAACCUCUAUCUUACCUAACCAAACCAUUUUUUCUGCCCAGUAUGAGAGACAGACCUGCCACUUCUAGCGCUAUAGAGCACAGUACCGCAAGGGAACGAUGAAAGACCUUAAACCACCCAAGCACAAAAUAGCAGGCCUAACCCCCCGUACCUCCUGCAUCAUGGUUUAGCCAGCACCAACAGGUAAAGAGCCCCUACACCUGCCCCCCCGAAGCCAGACGAGCUACCUUAGAGCAACUAAUAGAGUUCACCCGUCUCUGUAGCAAAAGAGUGGGACGACUUUAAGGUAGAGGUGAAACGCCUAUCGCGCCUGGCGAUAGCUGGUUGCCCACUAAAAGAAUGUUAGUUCUACCUUAGUUCACCCAACAAAACCAACAAAUUAAACUAAAAUAUAACUAAGAGCUAUACAACAGAGGUACACCCCUGUUGUAACUGGCUACAACCAGAUCUAGUGGACUCCCAACUUCCCCCCCGCCCAGUAGGCCUCAAAGCAGCCAACGAAAACCAAGGCGUUAAAGCUAAUCAAAGACUAAUACUCAACUUCUAUCACCACCCCCUAGACACACAAUGGGCUACUCUGCCACCAUUCAGAAGAAAUACUGCUAAAACUAGUAAUAUGGCCACUACCACCCAAGCAUGACCGUACUCUACCCAUUAACAGACCAGUAUUCAACACACCAAGUCAACUUAGACCACCAACUGUUAAACCCACCCUGGCAUGCCCAAAAUUUUAAUCCCACCGCUACAAAAGGAACUCGGCUAAUGUACCCCACCUGUUUACCAAAAACAUCGCCUUUAGCUCACCAAGUAUUAAAGGUCCCGCCUGCCCAGUGAUAUUACAUUUAACGGCCGCGGUACUCUGACCGUGCAAAGGUAGCGUAAUCACUUGCCCUCUAAUUAGGGGCCAGUAUGAAAGGCCAAAUGAGGGUCCACCUGUCUCUUGUAGCAAGAUAAUGAAACUGAUCUCCUAGUACAAAAGCUAGGAUACCCCCAUAAGACGAGAAGACCCUGUGGAGCUUAUAAAUACCGCUGCUACACCCAAUACCAACCGGGCCCAAAUAGCAACACUUUUUAGUUGGGGCAACUAUGGAGUAAAACAAAACCUCCACGCCAACAACUCACACUUUAACCUAGGCCCACCAGCCAAAACCAAAAAGACCCAGCACCGCUGAUCAUCGAACCAAGUUACCCCAGGGAUAACAGCGCCAUCCUCUUCUAGAGUCCAUAUCGCCAAGAGGGCUUACGACCUCGAUGUUGGAUCAGGAUCCCCCAGUGGUGCAGCCGCUACUGUUGGUCCGUUUGUUCAACGGUUAAUAUCCUACGUGAUCUGAGUUCAGACCGGAGAAAUCCAGGUCGGUUUCUAUCUAUGACUAUGACUUCCUCAGUACGAAAGGAUAAGGAAGCAAGUGCCCCUGCUCAAUCACGCACUAACACAGAACUGCUAAAUAAAAAAUUAAGCAGGCCAUGUAAAACACAUACAAACCCUAAAUCAGGGCACACCCCUUAGGGCACAAGACCAGGAUUGAUACAUGUCCUAAAGCUUCAACAAAAGUUCAGCACUUUUCCCUAAUAAUAUAGUACAUACCAAAUAGAAACAAUUAACGUAUGAACCCCC